rnacentral:rRNA from 1 species
UACGUAGGGUGCAAGCGUUGUCCGGAAUUAUUGGGCGUAAAGAGCUUGUAGGCGGUUUGUUGCGUCUGCUGUGAAAUUUCGGGGCUCAACCCCGAACUUGCAGUGGGUACGGGCAGACUAGAGUGUGGUAGGGGAGACUGGAAUUCCUGGUGUAGCGGUGAAAUGCGCAGAUAUCAGGAGGAACACCGAUGGCGAAGGCAGGUCUCUGGGCCACUACUGACGCUGAGGAGCGAAAGCGUGGGGAGCGAACAGG